CCAGACUCCUACGGGAGGCAGCAGUGGGGAAUAUUGGGCAAUGGGCGCAAGCCUGACCCAGCAACGCCGCGUGAAGGAAGAAGGCUUUCGGGUUGUAAACUUCUUUUAAGAGGGAAGAGUAGAAGACGGUACCUCUUGAAUAAGCCACGGCUAACUACGUGCCAGCAGCCGCGGUAAUACGGAGGAUGCGAGCGUUAUCCGGAUUUAUUGGGUUUAAAGGGUGCGCAGGCGGAUUUUUAAGUCAGCGGUCAAAUCGUGGGGCUCAACCCCAUCCAGCCGUUGAAACUGGGGAUCUAGAGUGUGCGAGAGGUAUGCGGAAUGCGUGGUGUAGCGGUGAAAUGCAUAGAUAUCGCGCAGAACCCCGAUUGCGAAGGCAGCGUACCGGCUCCACACUGACGCUGAGGCACGAAAGCGUGGGUAUCGAACAGGAUUAGAUACCCGAGUA
rnacentral:rRNA from 1 species